AUCCAGCUCACUCAGUCGGGUAGAGCAUGAGACUCUUAAUCUCAGGGCUCUGGGUUUGAGACUCACGCUGGGCA